rnacentral:rRNA from 1 species
AAGUCGUAACAAGGUCUCCGUUGGUGAACCAGCGGAGGGAUCAUUACCGAGUUUACAACUCCCAAACCCCUGUGAACAUACCACUUGUUGCCUCGGCGGAUCAGCCCGCUCCCGGUAAAACGGGACGGCCCGCCAGAGGACCCCUAAACUCUGUUUCUAUAUGUAACUUCUGAGUAAAACCAUAAAUAAAUCAAAACUUUCAACAACGGAUCUCUUGGUUCUGGCAUCGAUGAAGAACGCAGCAAAAUGCGAUAAGUAAUGUGAAUUGCAGAAUUCAGUGAAUCAUCGAAUCUUUGAACGCACAUUGCGCCCGCCAGUAUUCUGGCGGGCAUGCCUGUUCGAGCGUCAUUUCAACCCUCAAGCACAGCUUGGUGUUGGGACUCGCGUUAAUUCGCGUUCCUCAAAUUGAUUGGCGGUCACGUCGAGCUUCCAUAGCGUAGUAGUAAAACCCUCGUUACUGGUAAUCGUCGCGGCCACGCCGUUAAACCCCAACUUCUGAAUGUUGACCUCGGAUCAGGUAGGAAUACCCGCUGAACUUAAGCA